ACUUUGCCACUAACCAAGGCUGCCUUAAGAUUCUUUAUUAGGUGAGGAACAUCAGCGAGAAAAUAUAACCAUUUGGUUGGACUUUGAGGAUGUACUACUUUGCUAACAGUAUUGCAGUGUCUUCCAGUCAUGAGGCCAAAGCUUCUACACAGUGCUCGGUUUGCAGAUUCCAUGUCACUAGUCACAGCUAUGACAUAGUUCCGUCAGUGGAGGUUCCUUUGAAAUGGUAUGCUACUGUCUGUUUCCACUGUGAUGACAGUCCUCCCAACAUAAACACGAGCAUGAGUGGCACUACCACAAUGACCAGGCAAAGUCACAUUCCCAAGCAAUUGUCCACUACUUGCAUCAUACUCAAUACUAGGUGUAAUGGACAUUUCAUCUAAUGUGAGACAGCAGACUCUUUCCUCUUCAUACAAAUCAUUUACCUUCACUGCUAAGUAUUCAAAAACUUGGUUGAGUAUGCCGGGCUCAAAUAGAACUGUUUCCAUUCGUUGUUGAAGAGUUCGAAGAGAUGGUAAAGGAAACUGCUGUUUUAAAAAUGACCACCGAAUUCCUCACAUUCCUCGGGACAAUGCUAGCAGUUGAUCUUCAGCAAAAAGUUUUUUAAUCUUUGAUUCCUGACUUGCCAUUUGCUUAGUAAGUGCAUUAUUUCUUCUUGUAAUUUUAUGCAGUUUGGCUCUUGAAACUUGUACUUUGGCUUUAAUUUUACGACUUCUCUAGCUGUUGUAGAGGAAUCAAUUGAGAGGGUAUUAGAUUCAUCCACAUCUAUAUCUAGAUCUGCCACACUGGUUUCAUAUGCUACAGAGUCAUGUCGAGUUGCCUCGUCAUCAUUGGAAUUAUGUUCAGCUGUACAUCAAUCAAUUAAGAGAUAGAUUAGUUAACUUGCAUUAAUUGUACUUGGUUCUUCAUAGUAGUAAUUUAAACAAUUGAAAAAUGAAAAACAAUCCCAAGAUUGAAGAAACUUCUACUAAAUUUUGAAAUUAUGUCUACAUGUGUGCCUGUUGUCAUUAUUGCGUGUGUGUGUGUUCUAUCAUGUGUAAUUUGCAGUUUUCUUUGUAGUUUUAUAAACAUAUAUAGUACAGUUGAUUGAGAUGUUAUUAAUUAAGUGAAGAACAAUUCAUGCACUGAUAUAAACGUGUGAACUGUUGCAUAG